GAAGCUGACCAGACAGUCGCCGCUUCGUCGUCGUCCUCCUUCGGGGGGAGACGGGCGGAGGGGAGGAAAGUCCGGGCUCCAUAGGGCAAGGUGCCAGGUAACGCCUGGGGGGUGUCACAGCCCACGACCAGUGCAACAGAGAGCAAACCGCCGAUGGCCCGCGCAAGCGGGAUCAGGUAAGGGUGAAAGGGUGCGGUAAGAGCGCACCGCGCGGCUGGUAACAGUCCGCGGCACGGUAAACUCCACCCGGAGCAAGGCCAAAUAGGGGUUCAUAAGGUACGGCCCGUACUGACC
rnacentral:RNase_P_RNA from 1 species